GAUGAACGCUGGCGGCGUGCCUAAUACAUGCAAGUCGAACGCACAGCCAAAAGUGCUUGUACCCUUCAAUUAGCUGGCGAACGGUUGAUUAACCCUUGAUCAACUUGCUAUAAGACUGGGGUAAAUUCUUGGAAACAGAUCUAAUACCGGAUUAUAUCUUAAAGCGCCAUGUUCCAAAGUUAAAAACCGUUUUGCUGUCACUUAGAGAUGGAUCCGCGCUGCAUUAGCUAGUUGGUGAGGUAAAGGCUUACCAAGACAAUGAUGCAUAGCCGAGUUGAGAGACUGAUCGGCCACACUGGAACUGAGACACGGCCCAGACUCCUACGGGAGGCAGCAGUAGGGAAUCUUCCACAAUGGGCGAAAGCCUGAUGGAGCAACGCCGCGUGAGUGAUGAAGGCCUUCGGAUCGUAAAACUCUGUUAUAAGGGAAGAACAGCUGGGAAAGGAAAUGAGUAUAGUUUGACGGUACCAAAUCAGAAAGGGACGGCUAAAUACGUG
rnacentral:rRNA from 1 species